CCUACGGGAGGCAGCAGUGAGGAAUAUUGGUCAAUGGCCGCAAGGCUGAACCAGCCAAGCCGCGUGAGGGAGGAAGGCACAGAGCGUUGCAGACCUCUUUUGCCGGGGGACAAAAGACCCGACGGGUCCGGUUCUGAGGGUACCCGGAGAAAAAGCAUCGGCUAACUCCGUGCCAGCAGCCGCGGUAAUACGGAGGAUGCGAGCGUUAUCCGGAUUGAUUGGGUUUAAAGGGUGCGCAGGCGGGCCGUUAAGCCGGCGGUGAAAUCGCGGGGCUCAACCCCGUCGAGCCGUCGAAACUGGGGGGCUUGAGUGCGGCAGAGGCAUGCGGAAUGCGCGGUGUAGCGGUGAAAUGCAUAGAUAUCGCGCAGAACCCCGAUUGCGAAGGCAGCGUACCGGGCCGCCACUGACGCUGAGGCACGAAAGCGCGGGGAUCGAACAGGAUUAGAUACCCGGGUAGUC
rnacentral:rRNA from 1 species